GGCUAACGAUUCUUUUGCAGCGCUUAAUUGCGCGGCGAAAACCUUACACACUAUGUUUUUUUAAUUUGAAACUAUUGCUUUGGUCUGGCUUAGAAAUAGGUUGGGCCAAAGGUUUUAUCAAAACUUCAAUAUUUAUUAUUGAAUUGUUAUUUUUAAUUUUAUGUCAAUUUGUUGAUUAAUAUCAAAAAUCUUCAAAACUUUCAACAACGGAUCUCUUGGUUCUCGCAUCGAUGAAGAACGCAGCGAAAUGCGAUAAGUAAUAUGAAUUGCAGAUUUUCGUGAAUCAUCGAAUCUUUGAACGCACAUUGCGCCCUUUGGUAUUCCAAAGGGCAUGCCUGUUUGAGCGUCAUUUCUCUCUCAAAUCUUCGGAUUUGGUUUUGAGUGAUACUCUUAGUCAGACUAAGCGUUUGCUUGAAAUGUAUUGGCAUGAGUGGUACUAGAUAGUGCUGAACUGUUUUCAAUGUAUUAGGUUUAUCCAACUCAUUGACCAGUAAAGUAUUUGUUUAUUACACAGGCUCGGCCUUACAACAACAAACAAAGUUUGACCUCAAAUCAGGUAGGACUACCCGCUGAACUUAAGCAUAUCAAAACGGAAGGGGAAGAA
rnacentral:rRNA from 1 species